GGGAUACCCGCUGAACUUAA
rnacentral:rRNA from 1 species